UGGGGAAUAUUGCACAAUGGGCGCAAGCCUGAUGCAGCCAUGCCGCGUGUAUGAAGAAGGCCUUCGGGUUGUAAAGUACUUUCAGCGGGGAGGAAGGGAGUAAAGUUAAUACCUUUGCUCAUUGACGUUACCCGCAGAAGAAGCACCGGCUAACUCCGUGCCAGCAGCCGCGGUAAUACGGAGGGUUCAAGCGUUAAUCGGAAUUACUGGGCGUAAAGCGCACGCAGGCGGUUUGUUAAGUCAGAUGUGAAAUCCUCGGGCUCAACCUGGGAACUGCAUCUGAUACUGGCAAGCUUGAGUCUCGUAGAGGGGGGUAGAAUUCCAGGUGUAGCGGUGAAAUGCGUAGAGAUCUGGAGGAAUACCGGUGGCGAAGGCGGCCCCCUGGACGAAGACUGACGCUCAGGUGCGAAAGCGUGGGGAGCAAACAGG
rnacentral:rRNA from 1 species